CCAGAAUGCCAGACAUCAGGAAGGAACAAUCACCUGAUGAUACCUUGAUUUGGUCUUCUCCUAGCCUCAAAACAUGCUGGUCACUGUCCCCAAGUCUGACUGGCACUUUCUGGACCUCCUGCCAUGGUGCCAGAACUGAAGCAGUAAUCUUGUCUCUACAGAGGCUCCCAGAGACCUUGUCCCUAUGGACAGAGGUUUAUAAGAUGUCCAGAAGAUGCUCUCCAGGAACUUUAUGCCUGACCUCGACAGGAAUUAGAAGUGAAGCCUAGAGGCAUACGUCCAAACCUCCACUGUUGCUUCCUAGAGAUAACUGAAAUAAUUCAACCACUUGUGACCUGUUAGGAGCUGAAACCUUGGAGAAGUGAACUCGCUGCCCUCCCCCCUACGUGGGACCCGACUCCCAGGGGUG